CCGCACCGGUUCGCGAGGGAACCGCUCAGGUACCGCCGCCACAGCCCAGUGCGGACGACGGGAGAGGAAGGCGGAAGGAGGACACGCUCGCUCGCUUGCUCUCUCCCACCCGCACCCGGCGCGGAGCCCAGGGGGGAGGAGUCACUGCGGGCACGCCCCGCCUCCGGCCGGGGAAGACUACGCCGGCGACCCCGCCGGCUGGCCACCGCCCCCCUUGCCGGCCGAGACCCGCCCCCGGCCCUCCCUUGGCGGCAUGGAGGGGCCCCGCUCCUGACGGCCGCGCCGCCGCCUCGGCCCCCGCCCCUCCUCCUGGCCCCUCCCUCCCGCCCCCGCUCGCAUGUCCGCACCGCCUUAGCCGAGGAUGCUGAGGAUGAAGCUGCCGCUGAAGCCGACGCACCCCGCGGAGCCGCCGCCCGAGGCGGAGGAGCCCGAGGCGGACGCGCGGCCAGGCGCGAAGGCGCCGCCGCGCCGCCGCCGCGACUGCCGCCCCCCGCCGCCGCCGCCGCCGCUCUCGGGCCCGCCGCGGGGCCCCCCGCCACAGCCGCCGCCGCCACCCGGGGGGCUCGGGCAGCCUGUUGCUGGCGGAUCGGCGGCGGGGGCGGGCAUGCCGAGCGGCGGCGGCGGGCCCACGGCGGCGCUGCGCGAGCAGGAGCGGGUGUAUGAGUGGUUCGGGCUGGUGCUGGGCUCGGCGCAGCGCCUGGAGUUCAUGUGCGGGCUGCUGGACCUGUGCAACCCGCUGGAGCUGCGCUUCCUCGGCUCGUGCCUGGAGGACUUGGCGCGCAAGGACUACCACUACCUGCGCGACUCGGAGGCCAAGGCCAACGGCCUCUCGGACCCGGGGCCGCUGGCCGACUUCCGAGAGCCCGCCGUGCGCUCGCGCCUCAUCGUCUACCUGGCGCUGCUGGGUUCCGAGAACCGUGAGGCCGCCGGCCGCCUGCACCGCCUCCUGCCCCAGGUGGACUCGGUGCUUAAGAGCCUGCGCGCGGCCCGGGGCGACGUCUCGCGGGGCGGCGCGGAGGACGAGCCCGGCGAGGACGGCGACAACGAGGAGGACGCCGAGAAGGACGGCUCCGGCCCGGAAGGCGGCGGCGCCGAGCCUCAGCCCGGAGGCGGGCUGGGCUUCAGGGCCCAGGAGGAACUGCUGCUGCUCUUCACCAUGGCCUCGCUGCACCCGGCGUUCUCCUUCCACCAGCGGGUCACCCUGAGGGAGCACCUGGAGAGGCUCCGCGCCGCGCUCCGCCGGAGCCCCGAAGACGGGGAGGCGGAGCCGUGCAACUUUGCCGGCCCCAGGGCCCAGAAUGACUCUGCUCAUGGUGAUUAUAUGCAAAGUAAUGAGGCCAGUUUAAUGGAACAAGCCCCGAUACCUCAUGAUGGGCUUCCUGUGGCACCUCAUAGAACCCAGCGAGAAGCUGUACACAUUGAGAAGAUAAUGUUGAAAGGAGUCCAGAGAAAAAGGGCUGACAAAUAUUGGGAGUACACCUUCAAAGUAAAUUGGUCUGAUCUUUCAGUCACAACAGUAACAAAAACCCACCAAGAACUACAGGAAUUUCUGCUGAAGCUUCCAAAGGAGUUGUCCUCGGAGACUUUUGACAAGACCAUCUUGAGAGCCCUGAAUCAGGGCUCACUGAAGCGGGAAGAACGGCGGCACCCUGACCUGGAGCCCAUCCUGAGGCAGCUAUUUUCAACUUCGUCACGAGCUUUUCUACAGAAUCAGAAAGUACACAGCUUUUUUCAGUCCAUAUCAUCAGACCCUUUCCACAGCCUCAAUAACUUACAAUCCAAUCUGAAGACUUCUAAGAUAUUAGAACACUUAAAAGAAGACAGCUCAGAAGCUUCAAGUCAAGAAGAAGAUGUGUUACAGCACACCAUAAUCCACAAGAAACAUACCGGGAAAAGUCCCCUUGUGAACACUAUUGGUACAAGUUGUUCUCCGUUGGAUGGGCUCACCAUGCAGUAUUCUGAACAGAAUGGAAUCAUGGAUUGGAGGAAGCAGACCUGCACCACCGUUCAGCACCCGGAGCACUGUGUGGCCUUAGCUGACCAGCAUUCAACUGAAAAACGAAGUUUAUCUUCAAUAAAUAAGAAGAAGGGAAAGCCACAAAUAGAAAAGGAGAAAAUUAAGAAAACUGACAACAGAUUGAAUAGUAGAAUAAAUGGUAUUCGAAUCUCCACUCCUCAGCACGCCCACGGUGGUUCUGUGAAAGAUGUGAAUUUGGACAUUGGAUCUGGACAUGACACAUGUGGAGAAACAUCUUCAGAGAGUUACAGUUCUCCAUCUAGCCCACGACAUGAUGGAAGAGAAAGUUUUGAAAGUGAAGAAGAAAAAGACAGAGACACAGACAGCAAUUCUGAGGAUUCUGGAAAUCCAUCAACAACCAGGUUUACAGGUUAUGGUUCUGUCAACCAGACUGUCACUGUCAAGCCACCUGUUCAGAUUGCUUCAUUAGGAAACGACGAUGCAAGCCUCUUAGAAGAUCCCUUAAGCUCACCCAAGUAUCAGCAUAUUUCUUUUAUGCCAACUUUACACUGUGUCAUGCACAAUGGUGCCCAGAAGUCUGAGGUGGUUGUUCCUCCACCCAGAUCUGCUGAUGGUAAAACAAUAGGGGUGCUUGUUCCUAGCCCUGUUGCUCUCUCUGCAGGAAGGGAGUCCACGAACUCAACCCCCGUCGGAAUACUAGGGCCAACAGCUUCUACUGCAGAAUCAGAAAAGCACCUUGAAUUACUGGCGUCCCCUUUACCUGUUCCAUCAACAUUCCUUCCACACAGUAGUACUCCCGCUUUGCACCUCACAAUUCAGAGGCUAAAACUGCCACCGCCACCGGGAUCUUCCGAGAGUUGCACAGUGAACCUCUCCCAGCAACCAACCGGGAGUCUGAGCGUCGGAUCACCAAACACUGCCUUUAUUCCUGUUCAUAAUCCAGGUAGUUUUCCAGGAUCUCCUGUGGCUGCCACAGACCCCAUCACAAAAUCUGCAUCUCCAGUGGCAGGACUAAAUCAAAUGGUGCCUCAGAUUGAGGGCAACACGGGGACAGCCCCUCAGCCUGCCAAUGUGAAGGUAGUUCUUCCAGCAGCCGGCCUCUCGGCCGUACAGCCACCAGCUUCCUACCCCUUGCCAGGCUCUCCCCUUGCGGCCGGGGUGUUACCCAGCCAGAAUUCCACCGUCCUCAGCACGGCGGCAACGUCUGCCCAGUCAGCGGGAGCAGGCGUCAGCCAGGCCCAGUCGAGUGUUCCCCCCGCGGUUCCUACCCACACCCCCGGCCCCGCCCCAAGCCCGAGCCCUGCUUUGACACACAGUACUGCGCAGGGCGACAGCACGUCUUACAUCAGUGCUGUGGGAAACACGAACGCCAGCGGGACAGUGUUGCCUCCGCAGCAGAUGGGCUCAGGUCCUUGUGGUUCCUGUGGGCGAAGGUGCAGCUGUGGGACCAAUGGAAACCUUCAGCUGAAUAGUUACUAUUAUCCUAAUCCAAUGCCUGGACCAAUGUACCGAGUCCCGUCGUUCUUUACUCUGCCAUCCAUCUGCAAUGGCAGCUACCUCAACCAAGCACAUCAGAGCAAUGGAAACCAACUUCCUUUUUUUCUGCCUCAGACUCCAUAUGCAAAUGGACUGGUGCAUGACCCAGUCAUGGGGAGCCAAGCCAACUAUGGCAUGCAGCAGAUGGCAGGAUUCGGGAGAUUCUAUCCUGUGUACCCAGCACCCAAUGUAGUUGCCAACACGAGUGGUUCGGGGCCCAAGAAGAACGGGAACGUUUCAUGUUACAACUGUGGUGUAAGCGGGCACUAUGCGCAGGAGUGUAAGCAGUCGUCCAUGGAGGCCAGUCAACAAGGCACUUACAGACUGAGAUACGCACCUCCCCUCCCCCCUUCUAAUGAUACGUUGGAUUCUGCAGACUGAAACAAGUAAAGCUUGCCUACUUAAUACACUGAAGUGUGGGGAGUCAUGGUUGGGGUGUGGAGGGGAGGAAAGGAAAGGUAGCAUCUAGUACUUGAGCACCACCAUCCAUGUGAGCUUGGAGGACACCUUUUUUCAGUUCUACAUACUGAUUACAAAAACAUUUAAGCUCCAACUUGAUCCACUAUAAAAGGUCUCGCUCGGCCAGCCUCUCACCAAAAGAAAUUGCUAAUUGGGAAGCGGCGCCACCUGGUGGGGAACGAGGACAAUGCAAGCAAGCUGACAUCAUUGCCCACUUGACAUGAUGCAGAGAAAAUUGAACGUAAGGCAGAGAACAUUUGAGAUUGUAAACCUGUGCUCAAAACCUUAAAGAAUGCAGGCAACUGGCCAUAAAAGCAAUUUGAGCGGUCUCCUCUUUCAGCCAUUGCAAUCUCAGUUUGUUAUAAACAUCUUAAAUGCAUUGAUGGUACUUCAGAGUUUCCUUUGCACUGUUCUCUGUGCUUAUUGGCCUGCACAACUGUGAAGGGUAUGGGGUCUUCCUCCUCCCUGUUUUACAGAUUAGGAACUCAGGGUUCAGAGGGGUUAAGUGCCACAGACAUGCCGCCAGUGAUGAAGGCCAGGCCCCAACUUCAGAUUAGUGCUUACCUCCUGCCCCACUUCCUGGCCUGCAACUGCUUCUCCACUGAACCCAGGGCAAUGACCUUUUAAACCAUACAAAGCGAUAGGCACCCAUGGUCUUAAGAACCAUGGGGCUUCUGGAUUCCUGAGAGAGGAGUGGGCUGGGUCCUGGUCAGUCAGAAUGUCUCUUUUCUGUAUCUCUGUUGAAGGGGUGAGGGAAAGUUUGCAGAGCUGGGAGACCUCAGGCCUUUUAGAACUAGGCUUUCAGCGUUUGCCUGUCUCAGAUGAGUUCAAGGAGCAGCAACUGUUGCCUACAUCCAAGGUUUGAAACAUGCACCAACAUACUCUGUUGGAACACUGAGUCUUGCUCUGCAAAGGUUUUUAUUAUCCCCAGAUGUCUCGGUGACUAUUGAGCAUUUGGUGACUAUUCCAUUAAUUUUAAGACUUCAGAAUUUAAGAAAUGCAGUAGCAGGGCACACAGAAAAGACACUUCACUGCUGAUAUUUGCAAAGCUCUGACAGUUAUAUAUAGAUUGUCCCAAGCACUCCCUCUACCAGCCACCGCAACUCAAAGACACUCCAAAGAUCAAAAAUGAUGGAGGCAAAGUCACCUUCAAGCAGGAACAGUGACAGUCACACCCACCCCAAAAGCCUUUCUGGACGUUAAGAAUGCCACCAGGUCACCUAGUACUCGGUGCGCAUUCUUGCUAGCGUAUCAGGGUUGGGUAUUUGUGACAUGGUAACUCACUUUUGCAUUGGAAGCCUCCAUCAGAUGAACUUGUACAAGAGGUGGCACUGGUAAAGCCUUAUUUUCAGCACCCACCCACAGUACGCAUGACCUUUCUCAGGCUCAUUUACAGAACGGGGAUAACAUCCACUUUGUUAGAAUAGUUACAAGGAUUGAAUCUGGCAAAAUACAUAAAGCACUCAGCGUCUGGCACACAGUAGGUGCUCAGGAAAUUCGUGAUAGUGGCGAACGCCUUCAUGCCCAGUGGGGGGCAGACACAUUUCAGCCUCACUGCAGCCAUACGAGGUGGGUACUCCGCUCAAUCUUACCGUUGGGGAGGUUGAGGCAUGAAGGCCGCCCAAGUGUCUGAGGGUACAGAGCGGUUCAGUGGUAGGGCUGGGACUGGUACCCGCCGCUCUUAGCCCCCAGGCUCCUCCAAUUCUUUGUGCCCGGGUCACAGGAUGCCACAGGCAUGGCGUGACAGUGCAGGGCACCCCGCACGGGGGUCAGGUAGGCAGGACUCAGGCCGGCUCUGCCGUAAACUCUGUCGUCUUGAACACCUGGCCCUCCUGGACCUUCAUUUUUCUUAUCCGAAAGCUGAGUGUUGCUUGGAAAAGAGUGGUAGAAACUGAGCUAAAUGACCUUAGAAUUCUGUGGCUUGAAGCUUACUUUUUCACUUUAGGUGAUUUAUCAAGUUUUUAUAAUUCUUUACCUUUACACUUUUGUUUUAACUGAUUUGAAGUCCUUUUUGGGUGUGGUCAGGAGCACAAACCCCAGCUGUCACCAGGUGCUAACAGGACAGGAAACGUUUCCAGGUCCUUAGGGAACGGCAAGAGAAAAGACCCCAGUUGGGGCUGGCUGGGCACUAGGUGGCAGCACCGGGUUCUGACCGUGUCUGGUCCAGUGGAGGAGCAGGUGCUCUGUCCUCUGUCAUCAAGAUUCUAGGCUCUCCUCUACUUGUACUGAUAAAGUUUUCACUUAGGCGGGCCUUCUAGUCAAAAAACGAAGCUCGCAUACUGAGUCCUGUGCUGAAGGACACAGGGUUAGCCGUAGCUCACAGGUCGGCAAUGCGUAGAGAUGGACAAACUACGGUCCACAGCUAAGAAUGGUUUUUACAUCUUUAAAUGGUUGAAAAGAAUACAUUUUCAUGAUGCAUAAAAAAAUGAUAUGAAAUUCACAUUUCAGUGUGCACAAAUAAAGUUUCUUGGAACACGGCCACUCGUUUGUCUCGUUGUGGCUGCUUUCGUCGGAAAUGGCCAAGUUGAGCAGUUACGACACAGACCACAUGGCCUUCAGAGCCUGAGGUACUGUCUGCACCGUUAUGGAAAAAGCUUGCCGACCCCUGACACACAGCAACCUUCUCUAAGUAAAGGUGCGCUCUCCGGUGUCUUUCAGGUCCUACGUGCGAGUGCAGGAAUUUCACUCUCUCCUUUUUGCUGCCGGGUCUCCUUAGCAAAAUGAGAUCACCUCUGGUGCACACAUUCCAUCAGCCGUUUAGCAAAUAUCUCUUGGCUGGGAGCUGAGUGUCACGAGGGGCAUAACCAGCUACAGCCUGGUCACAAGCUGUGGGAUCCCAGCGGGUGGACAGGUGAACUCUGCCUGCUGAGAACUGGGAAAGGGUUUCCAAAGGACAGCAUUUCCGCUGGGCCAGAAAGGAAGAAGUGAGAUAUUCUUAGUGAAGAGGUAAAGAGAUGGCAAAGAAAAUGUCAUCGAAGAUGGACGUCAGGAGUGUUGGGUAGGGAG